UGUCUGCAAAGCGAACGUUGGACUUGAAUUAUACUGGUAGUAACUACGUUUUUUUUCUCCAGGAUUUGUGUUUUUUUGGGCCUGGAAAAGUUUUGUGUCAUGUUGUUUUGAACUUCAACUGUCGGAGGAGCGACCAUGGGAGCGACGGGUAACUGGACGGGUAACUGGACGGGUAACUGGAGUUGGGUAACUAGCCUAGCUACAUGUCAGAGUGACGUGUCGCAGCACGGAACGUUACGACGCAAGAAAAAGACAAAGGACGCUUAGAACACGUGUGUGCCAGAAAACAUUCAUUGUUUUUUGACCAUCCCCCAAAAGAUUGAGGAUUGUCCAGGUAAACCUGGCACAAAACAUCCCCUCGCCCAAAGCCCCAACAUUUCAUGAUGUGAGCUGUGAAAAGGCACAGCGGCGCCACAUCUUCAUCCGACGUGGAGGACAGACGGAGGAACUCUCUGGUACAUCUGGAGUAGCCGUUGUGGGUCAGCAGGGCCUUCCUCACGGUGAAGAAGGACACCGUCUUCUCCAAGAUGUCCGACGCUGGGAUUCCAUUCUGCAGGUGUUCUCCGAUCAGAACCCUCAGCUUCUCCACUCCAGUGGAGCACUUUCUCUCUAGCAUGUGGAGUUUACACCUGGGAGGGGAGAGAACGCCAUUAGAAAUGCAGAACUGAGUAACAGCGUUAAACUGACAUAAUAAUUGGAGUCAUUUGACUCUUUAAAUAGCUUAAGAAUCAGAUUUAACCAUAAUCUGCCAGUUGCUGUGGAUACUCAAUAUGCAAUUUUUUCUGGGAAGCAACUAGGUUAUAAAAUGAAAUGCUUACCGAAAGAGCUGUUCCUUAAUGGUGCCUUGCAGGUCCAUAUCAGAGUAGGGAGCCAUUUUAGAUAUUGGUCUUGAGUUUGAAGGUAUUUGUAAAAAGGAUAAAACGCUCAAGAAAUAUCCAGCAAUUCAGUGGAGGUGGAGGCUGCAGUUGCUUCUGAAGAUGUUCUGUGUCUAGAUUGGUUUCCUCGUGCUGCCUUUAUGCUCCUCAUCCAGCAUGAGCUUGGCUGCUCAGCCAAUCAGGAGGCCCAGAGUCAGGGACAAUGGCCUGAAUUUAAUGGAUGACACAGAGAACAGGUGGAAUGUUGUUCUCAAUGGCAUAUGUCAAUGUGUUGGGGCAACAUCUUCCAUGGGAAAAAGGCCUGGGCCAGUUCUAUUGUCACGGAUAUUUAACAAAUAAUACAAAUCUGUAUAUUUUUGUAUUUAAGUUAUGAAUUUGGUGCGGCACAAAAAAUACCCCAAAAUGCUAAAAUAUUCUGGCUGUCA